CAGAGGUAGUAGGGAUGACCAGGGAUGUUCUCUGUUUAGUGAGUCCUCCAGAUCAGACGCAGUAGCGAUGACCAGGGAUGUUCUCUGUUUAGUGAGUCCUCCAGAUCAGAGGCAGUAGGGAUGACCAGGGAUGUUCUCUGUUUAGUGAGUCCUCCAGAUCAGAGGCAGUAGGGAUGACCAGGGAUGUUCUCUGUUUAGUGAGUCCUCCAGAUCAGAGGUAGUAGGGAUGACCAGGGAUGUUCUCUGUUUAGUGAGUCCUCCAGAUCAGAGGUAGUAGGGAUGACCAGGGAUGUUCUCUGUUUAGUGAGUCCUCCAGAUCAGAGGCAGUAGCGAUGACCAGGGAUGUUGUCUUGAGAAGUGGGUGAAUUGGACCAUUUUUCUGUCCUGCUAAACAUUCGAAAUGUAACGA
rnacentral:lncRNA from 1 species